rnacentral:lncRNA from 1 species
CCCGAUGUUCUCUCUCUUUCCUCCAUAAGAAUAAACCCAGCUUAGUCGACCUCCUCCAUCUUGCUCUCGCCAGCGUCAUCCUCCAGAGGGGGCAUGUCGGUGUCAGCCUCCGGAGCCUCCUCGUCCUCGUCGAUGCUCAGGCCCAGCUUGAGCAUGCGGUGGAUGCGGCUGCCAAAGGUGUUGGGAUCGUCGAGGCUAAAGCCAGAAGUGAGCAGCGCCGUCUCGAACAGCAGCAUGACAAGGUCCUUAACGGACUUGUCGUUCUUGUCAGCCUCGG